UGCGUAGGCGGUCCGAUAAGUCUGAUGUGAAAGCCCUGGGCUCAACUCAGGAACUGCAUUGGAAACUGACGGACUGGAGUACCGGAGAGGGAAGCGGAAUUCCUGGUGUAGCGGUGAAAUGCGUAGAUACCAGGAGGAACACCGGUGGCGAAAGCGGUUUCCUGGCCGAGUACUGACGCUGAGGCACGAAAGCGUGGGGAGCGAACG
rnacentral:rRNA from 1 species